GGUUAAGAAUCCGCCUGCCAAUGCAGGGGACAGGGGUUCGAGCCCUGAUCUGGGAAGAUCCCACGCUUUGCAGAGCAAGUAAUCUCUUGUGCUACAACUACUGAAGCCUGUGCACCUAGAACCUGUGCUCCCCAACAAGAGAAGCCAGUGCAAUGAGAAGCCCGUGCACUGGAACGGGGAGUAGCCCCUGCUCAUCUCAAGUAGAGAGAGCUGGUGUGCAGCAAUGAAGACCCAAGGCAGCCAAAAAUUAAUUAAUUAAAUGCUUUAAAAAUUGGGGGAACAUGUAUUGGCAAAUACAAGAGUAUACCUUGACAAAGUAAAUUCUCUUCCUUCCUCUGAUCCCCACUUCUCACUGUUAACUAUUUCUUGUGUACCUUGGCCAGUAGGAUUCAUUGAGCUCUCACGAUGUCCCCAGCCUGUGCUAAGCCUGUCACAGAAAUGACCUUGCUCAAAUCACUCACCACCCAGUGUGUUGGCCAGGCACCAUUGCUAUACCCAUUUUAGAGAAGUGAAGCCUGAGGCUUAGAGAAAUGCAGGGAUGUGUCCUAUCAAGGGCCUGGCUUUGAAGGUUUUUCAAAAUUGAAGGUAUGGGAGCAGGUGAGAUCAGAGAGGAAAAAGUCCAAAGGGCCAGAGCCCAGGGGACUGGAGGGGAGUGGCAGGGAGUUCAAGGGGGCUGCCUGGAGGAGGAGUGAGGAAAGCUAGGAAGGUACCUUCCAGAGCCUUCUGAUGAAGGGCUUAGGUGGAAGUAAGUCACUCUGUUUGGGAGGCUGAGGUACCCCUGGCAGCAGGGCAGAACCCUCUCCUCAGGCCCCAGAGGUGUUCAUAGGAAGAGACUGAGGCUGCUUGAUGACAUCUCAGGGACACGGUGAUAGCACAGCCGGCUGUUAUGACGUCUGAGUGAUUCGCCACCUGCCUGUUAUGACCAGCAUCUCUAGUCAUGCCGCAUGGGGGGGAUGAGGAUGGGAGGAAGUGACAGGCCACAGGGGGUGGGGGUGACAGGGAUGCAGUCAUUUAGAGACCAGGGACUCAGCAGCUGAGAGAUGUGUUCUGCCCCCUGCACUAGGGAAAGUUGGGUGAGAGGAUCCACGUUUUGGUGUUCUGUUUAGUGAAGAAGGUCUACUAGUUUCAACAACGUUUGGCUGGGAUGGAGUAGGUCUGGGCUCAGAAUCAGGGGUCAGCCCAGAGGCUGCUGAGAUCAGGGACAUCUGUUUUGUUUGCUGCUGGGUCCCCAUCACCUAGGACAUAACUGGCACACAGUAGGGGCUCAAUACAUCUUUGUUGAAUGACUGAAUCAAAUGAAAGGGGUCAGCACUCUCUGGGCCUCAGUUUACCUUUUUGCCUAACAGCCCUGGCCAUCAGGCCACCUCAGCCAAUGGCGUUGCUAGGGAUACCCCUCCCCACCUAGGGUCUCAGAUCUCAGUCCUCGCUCCCGAGUGGGGUGGGGGUGAGCAAAAAAAGGAGUUAGUGCCUCUGAUGGACUCCGCCCAAGUGUGAUGUCACAAGCCGCUCUGGGAUCCCGACCCGUGUCGCUCCCUUGGGAUGGGGCGUGGAGAGGAACCCGGGAGUCCUAACUUCCGCCGCUCGCCGGGGCCUGGCACUGUUACAUAACCCCCGACGUCGCGUCCCCAGGGAUGUCGCCGGACGUCCUGGCCAGGCUGGGGACAAUGGGCGGGGAGAGGCCCUCCCGCCAGGAGCCUGGAAGUGGCAAGGGCACCCUCUCCUCUGAUUCACCCUUGUUUCCGGCCCGUUUAAGCCUCCUCCUUCUCCUCAAGAAUCCCUAUCUCCCCCAAACUCUCUACCCUCACAUCUUGUCCUCCCUAAAUUUCACCUCUUUCCCCGAGCCUGGAAAUAUGUCCUCUACCCAAACUCCCUGCCCUCACACCAGUCCCCUGUGAUUUCUGAAUCCCCUAAACGUCCAGUUUCCCACGCCCUCCUUCACUCACCCAUCCGCGGGCCCCUCUCCCGGGUCCCUCAAACUAGCCCCCACUUCCUACCCCGCCCCCGCCUUCCCAAUCUCCUCCCUUGGCUCCCCCAAACUUCCCCCAUCAUCUGUCUCCCCCAAACCCCUUCCCACCUCCCUCAAACUGACCCCGAAUACUCUUUCUCGUCCCUAAUGCCAGCCCUCUCUUGUUUCCCCGAAACUGCCCCAGUAUCUCUACCUCGUUCCCGCCAAAUCGGGUCCCCCAUACCCUCCCGGCUCCAGACAGCCGCCGGGUCCCCCGGCCCCAGGCCCCCGGCCGCCCGCGCCCUUCGCCGGCCCGCUCCCAGGCCCGGCUCCGGUUCCCAGGCCGCCCUCCCGCGGUGGCCUAGAGACCCAGUUUGCAGCGGCAAAACAUUGGUCUCCGGGCAACAGGCCCCGCCCGCCCCAGGGCGGCCCGCUGCGAGCCCAGCAGCGCCGAGGCCGAGACUGCGCGCGGAGGCGGGGCGGGCUCACAGGGCAGGGGCCUUCGCCUCCGGAGGCCCGCAGGGCGCAGAAACCCGGGGAGACGGCAACGCGGAAGUAGCGAUUCAGGGCCCCGGAGCCAGAAAACCUCGAGAAAUUCGUGGAGGCUGAAGCCACAGGGAGCUGUCUGGGGCGCAGUGAUAAAGAGACCGCGCGACAAAGCAAACAAGGACCGGGCCCCGAAAUAAACUCGGGGAUGGCGAGGCUAAACACAGACACCCCACGGGUCCGCAGGGACGCCCCUGAAGGCAGGAUAAUCUGCCUCAGCUCGUCUGGGCCAUUGCGCUUCUGUCUCAGGGGCCUCCCUCUCUGACCCUCAGUUUCCGUAUUUGUAAAAUGGGUAGCGCCCAGCACAGAGGGCUGUCGUGACAAUAGGGCUGUCGUAAGGAUUCAGGGAAUUCACCGACCUGGAGCUCGUGGCACACUCUUGGCACAUCCCAUCCGUCAUUCAUUCGUUCAACAGAUAUUUAUCGAGCACCCAUUAUGUGCCCUGCACUGUGGUAAGUGCUGGGAAUUCAACAGAGAGCAAAACAAAGAUCCCUGUCUUCGUGGGAGCUUCCACUUUGGGAGUGGGGAAGGAGGUGAUGGACGAUAUAGAAGCACAAAUUAGCACAUUAUGUAACACGCUGGAAAGUGGUCAUUGCCGGGGAGGUGGAGAGGGAGGGAGGGUUGGGGCAGCCGUUUUAAAUAGGGUGGUCAGAGAAGGCCGACCUGAGAAGGUGAUGCUUGAGCAAAGACUGGAAGUUGGUGAGAGAGGAGCCUGCAGAUAUCCCGGCCAAGAACAUGCCCGUCAGAGGGAGAAGCGGGUGCAAAGGCCUUAAGGUGGGAACAUGCCUGGUGUGUUGGAUUCACAGCCGGAGGCCCAUGUGGUUGGAGCAGAGAAAGCAAGGAGAGAGGGAGUGUCAGAGACACGGGGCCUGUGGGCCAUGAUGCAGAAACUGAGGCCCCAGGAGGUCACUCAACUUGCCCAAGGACUCAGCUCAGUCUGGCUCCAAAGAUGGACCCUCUACCUGCAGGGGAAAUCACUCUUCUCCCUGGCCACGUGUCUCCGCAGAACCUCACCUAUUAUGUGACAUCAGAACCUGGCAUCAGCCAACAAGGACCUACAGUAUAGCAGAGAAAACUAUACUCAAUAUUUUGUGAUAAUCUAUAAGA